UACGGGGGGGGCAAGCGUUGUUCGGAAUUACUGGGCGUAAAGGGCGCGUAGGCGGGUCUUUAAGUCAGGGGUGAAAUCCUGGAGCUCAACUCCAGAACUGCCUUUGAUACUGAAGAUCUUGAGUUCGGGAGAGGUGAGUGGAACUGCGAGUGUAGAGGUGAAAUUCGUAGAUAUUCGCAAGAACACCAGUGGCGAAGGCGGCUCACUGGCCCGAUACUGACGCUGAGGCACGAAAGCGUGGGGAGCAAACAGG
rnacentral:rRNA from 1 species